rnacentral:rRNA from 1 species
UACGUAGGGUGCAAGCGUUGUCCGGAAUUAUUGGGCGUAAAGGGCGCGUAGGCGGCCUGGUAAGUAGGGGGUGAAAUCCUGCGGCUUAACCGCAGGGCUGCCUUCUAAACUGUCAGGCUCGAGCACGGUAGAGGCAGAUGGAAUUCCCGGUGUAGCGGUGGAAUGCGUAGAGAUCGGGAAGAACAUCAGUGGCGAAGGCGGUCUGCUGGGCCGUUGCUGACGCUGAGGCGCGACAGCGUGGGGAGCAAACAGG